CACAGCAGUACUGGCAAAAUAUUCUGUGGACAGAUGAAACCAAAAUUGAGUUGUUUGGAAGAAACACACAACACUAUGUGUGGCGAAAAAAAAGGCACAGCAUACCAACAUCAAAACCUCAUCCCAACUGUGAAGUAUGGUGGUGGGGGCAUCAUGGUUUGGGGCUGCUUUGCUGCGUCAGAGCCUGGACGGAUUGCUAUCAUCGAAGGAAAAAUGAAUUCCCAAGUUUAUCAAGACAUUUUGCAGGAGAACUUAAGGCCAUCUGUCUACCAGCUGAAGCUCAACAGAAGAUGG